CCUACGGGGGACAGCAGUGAGGAAUAUUGGUCAAUGGACGCGAGUCUGAACCAGCCAAGUAGCGUGAAGGAUGACUGCCCUAUGGGUUGUAACCUUCUUUUAUAAAGGAAUAAAACGAGGCACGUGUGCCUUUUUGCAUGUACUUUAUGAAUAAGGAUCGGCUAACUCCGUGCCAGCAGCCGCGGUAAUACGGAGGAUCCGAGCGUUAUCCGGAUUUAUUGGGUUUAAAGGGAGCGUAGUUGGGUUGUUAAGUCAGUUGUGAAAGUUUGCGGCUCAACCGUAAAAUUGCAAUUGAUACUGGCAGUCUUGAGUACAGUUGAGGUAGGCGGAAUUCGGGGUGUAGCGGUGAAAUGCUUAGAUAUCACGAAGAACCCCGAUUGCGAAGGCAGCUUACUAAACUGUGACUGACAUUGAUGCUCGAAAGUGUGGGUAUCAAACAGGAUUAGAUACCCGAGUAGUC
rnacentral:rRNA from 1 species